GCGGGUAUGAUGGAAUUGGCAGACAUGCGAGAUUUAGGUUCUCGUGUCGUGAGACGUGCAGGUUCGACCCCUGUUACCCGCACCA
rnacentral:tRNA from 1 species